rnacentral:rRNA from 1 species
UGGGGAAUCUUGGACAAUGGGCGCAAGCCUGACCCAGCAACGCCGCGUGAAGGAUGAAGUAUUUCGGUAUGUAAACUUCGAAAGAAUAGGAAGAAUAAAUGACGGUACUAUUUAUAAGGUCCGGCUAACUACGUGCCAGCAGCCGCGGUAAUACGUAGGGACCAAGCGUUGUUCGGAUUUACUGGGCGUAAAGGGCGCGUAGGCGGCAAUUCAAGUCAUCUGUGAAAUCUCCGGGCUUAACUCGGAACGGUCAGAUGAUACUGCUUUGCUAGAGUGCAGAAGGGGCAAUCGGAAUUCUUGGUGUAGCGGUGAAAUGCGUAGAUAUCAAGAGGAACACCUGAGGUGAAGACGGGUUGCUGGGCUGACACUGACGCUGAGGCGCGAAAAGCCAGGGGAGCAAAACGGGAUUAGAUACCCGCGUAGUCCCUGAGCGGGCUGGCAAGGCGCAU